rnacentral:rRNA from 1 species
AUUGAACGCUGGCGGCAGGCCUAACACAUGCAAGUCGAGCGAGAGGGGGACGGGUGAGUAAUGUAUGUGGAUCUGCCCGGUAGAGGGGGAUAACUACUGGAAACGGUGGCUAAUACCGCAUACUAUCGGAUGGACCCAUAUGGGAUUAGCUAGUGGGGGGGGUAAAGGCUCACCUAGGCGACUAUCUCUAGCUGGUCUGUGAGGAUGAGCAGCCACACUGGGAAUGAGAAACGGCCCAGACUCCCACGGGAGGGAGCAGUGGGGAAUAUUGCACAAUGGGCGGAAGCCUGAUGCAGCCAUGCCGCGUGGAGGAAGAAGGCCUUAGGGUUGUAAAGUACUUUCAGCGGGGAGGCGUUACCCGAAGAAGAAGCAACGGCUAAAUCCGUGCCAGCAGCCGCGGUAAUAC